AACGCGAAGAACCUUACCUGGGCUCGAAAUGUAGAGGACGAAAUCAGAGAUGAUUUUUCCCGUAAGGGUCUUUACAUAGGUGCUGCAUGGCUGUCGUCAGCUCGUGCCGUGAGGUGUUUGGUUAAGUCCAGCAACGAGCGCAACCCUUAUCGUUAGUUGCCAGCGCGUAAAGGCGGGAACUCUAACGAGACUGCCUAGGUUAACUAGGAGGAAGGUGAGGAUGACGUCAAGUCCGCAUGGCCUUUAUGUCCAGGGCUACACACGUGCUACAAUGGUCGGUACAGAAGGCAGCGAAACCGCAAGGCGGAGCAAAUCCUGAAAAACCGAUCUCAGUUCAGAUUGUAGUCUGCAACUCGGCUACAUGAAGUUGGAAUUGCUAGUAAUGGCGUGUCAGCAACAACGCCGUGAAUACGUUCCCGGGCCUUGUA
rnacentral:rRNA from 1 species